rnacentral:lncRNA from 1 species
UUGGGUAGUAGACGCCCUCUAAGUUAUGUCUGGGGCUUGACUCUUGAUCCUUUAAUACUUACUGCAAAGCAUUGAUGGUGGUUUUAGACUCCAGCACUCCUGGUGUCGUUCCCAGCCUGCGAGAUGUCUGUGAAUGACUUCAUGUAGUAACCAUGUUCUGUUUUAUCUCCAUGACCUGGUUUGUAGUGAGAAUUCAAAAGUGUAUCCAUUGGAUCAACUGACAAAUUUUGGGGGCCUCCUGUGGCAAAAUCGUUUUACUAGAUGACUUCAACAGAAAAGGGAUGUGGAAGAGAAAUGAUCGCAAGUUUUUCAGUUGAGAUCCUUCCAGAAGAACCACAGCCAUUGUUGAUGAAUCUGGGUGGGGGUAGAGCUUGUCUGCUAAAGGUGAUGCAGACACCAUUACCCCAGUGUAAACACCAUUCAUGCAACUGCAGCCACCACCGGGGCCACUGGCUAGAGCACCACUUCCCAAAGUCCAGUGCCCUUUUAUGGAGGAAGGGGAAGAAAUUUCCUUUUGCCUGGAACAAAAUGGAGCGGUGCAAAUACUUGCUGUAAAAUAAGG